GCCAGGUGGGCGAGGGGGCGCGCACGUCGGGAAGAUGGCGCUACGUCUGCUGCGGAGGGCGGCGCGCGUGACGGAGGCGGCGGCGGCGGCGGCGGCGGCGGCGCUGCCGAGGCUGAAAGCAUCCCUGGCAGCCUACGUGCCCAGGCUUGGGUACAGUUCCUUGCCCAAUCACAAGUACAUUCCUCGGAGGGCUGUGCUCUAUGUGCCUGGAAAUGAUGAAAAGAAAAUCAAGAAGAUUCCAUCCCUGAACGUGGACUGUGCGGUGCUUGACUGUGAGGAUGGUGUGGCUGCCAACAAAAAGAAUGAAGCUCGACUGAGAAUAGUAGAAACUCUUGAAGGCUUUGAUCUGGGCCCAACAGAAAAAUGCGUGAGAAUCAACUCAGUGUCUAGCGGUCUGGCGGAGGAGGACCUUGAGACCCUUCUGCAAUCCCGGGUCCUUCCUUCCAGCCUGAUGCUACCAAAAGUGGAGAGUCCUGAGGAAAUCCAGUGGUUUUCAGACAAAUUUUCAUUCCACUUAAAAGGCCGAAAACUUGAACAACCAAUGAAUUUAAUCCCCUUUGUGGAAACUGCAAUGGGUUUGCUCAAUUUUAAGGCAGUGUGUGAAGAAACACUCAGGAUCGGACCUCAAAUGGGUCUUUUUCUAGAUGCAGUUGUUUUUGGAGGAGAAGAUUUUCGAGCCAGCAUAGGUGGCAAAACCCUUUCUCUCUUCCUCUGUGUGGUACGUGCCCUUGCCUUUCCCCAGUGCUCCAUCCAGACUCUGCAGCUAAGGUACUUGGCUCAGUCUCUCAGCUGGGCCUGGGCAUCGCAGCCCCUGCACGGUUGGGCCAACCCCAACACAGCCCAUCCUGUGCCCAAUGUGAGAAGUGCAACAAGUAGUAAAGAAACCCAGGACAUUCUCUACGCCCGACAAAAGAUUGUUGUCAUAGCCAAGGCCUUUGGCCUACAAGCCAUAGACCUGGUGUACAUUGAUUUUCGGGAUGCAGACGGGCUUCUCAGACAGUCAAGAGAAGCAGCCGCCAUGGGCUUCACUGGUAAGCAGGUGAUCCACCCUAACCAAAUUGCCGUGGUCCAGGAGCAGUUUACCCCUUCCCCAGAAAAAAUCCAGUGGGCUGAAGAACUGAUCGCUGCCUUUAAAGCACAUCAGCAGUUAGGAAAGGGAGCCUUUACUUUCCAAGGGAGUAUGAUCGACAUGCCAUUACUGAAGCAGGCCCAGAACAUUGUCACGCUUGCCACAUCCAUCAAGGAAAAAUGAUCUGUUCAAUGCAGCUCUCAUCAGCAAAGGGAAUGCUGAGAUGCAAGGACUCCAACUAUAGGGUUACUACUAGGAGAGGGUAAGUGAAAACACAGUGGAUCUGUGAAGAAGAAUACCUUCGACCCUCUACUAGGAGCCUGGGAUAAGGAGCAGGACUUCACUGUGUUUGUGGCUGGCUAGGAGGGCCACCCGGAGGCACCCAAGGCCCCUGGUUAGUCAUUCCAAUGGAUGUGAAAACAGGAGUCAUCAGAAGGCGGACUGGAGAAAAUUGAAGACAAGCAUAUAAGGGUUUUCACCAUAAAAUUAAUUCAUCAUUAUUUGAGUGAGACCCUCCAAGGAUCCGCGCUCAGGAGACGAGGGGGCGGGGCUACAGUCCUCUUGGAAGUGACUUGACAAGCGCCAGCAGAAUCGUCAUUCUCUUCAUAUCUGCAUCUGGGGAUGUAUCCUAAGGAAAUGCUCUGAUUCUAGAUAGAGAGAAAGGCUCAUUCACACUCACGACCUUAUUCACAAUUGUACAGAGGAAGGGGCGUUGACUUGAUGGAAUAUUAGGUAGCCACGAAAGGCGUUCUCCCGGAGAUGAGAAGAAAAUGCUGCGAAUACUAAGUUUAGCCAGGCACGGUGGCGCAGGCCUAUGGUGGCUCCGGAGGCUGAGGCAGGAGGAUCCUAAGUUCAAAGCCAGCCUCAGCAACUUAGGAAGGCCCUGUACAAUUCAGUGAGUCAGGGUCUCACUAAAAAAUAAAAAAUUAAAAUUAAAUAAUAAAAUUAAAAAUAAAAAAGGCUGGGGAAGUGGCUCUGUCAUUAAGCUCCCUUGUGGUCAAUACCUGAGGGGAGGGAGAGACAGGAAAGACAAAAGAAAGCAGGGGCUGGGGACACAGCUCAGUUGGUAGAACCCAUGCACAAGACCCUGGGUUAGAUCCCCAGCACCACCUCCAAAAAAAAAAAAAAAAAAAAACCCACAGAUCUAAGCUGCAUAUGCAGAGUCUAGGGCUCCUGCCUGGCUCUAUACUUCAUAGGUGUGUGACCUGAACUUGGCAGUGGUGUCCCUGGGCCCAGUUUUCCGACUGAAAUGACUUAACACAUGCAAAGAACAGUGCCUGUCCCAUAUUGCGCCCUUGACAAAUGUAAGCUGCUGUUAUUAUUGCAGUGUGAUUAUGACCAGGUUUAAAAGAAAACUGUUGCAAUGAUUGUGUUUGGAUGAUGGCACUGCUGGGGAUUUUUAAUUUUUUCUUCUUUUUACCUUUUCGUUGUCCAAAUUUUUCAUUAAAUUGUCAAUUUAUUCAAAAACUAAGUUGGAGCUC